rnacentral:lncRNA from 1 species
GUGCUGUUGUGCUGGAUAUAGAGGAGCCGGUUGCAGGGAAUCCAUGCUGGUGUGUGAGGCGACAACUGGGACAUUUAACACCAGCAGAUGCCUGUGUGCAGUAUCAUGCCAGACUGGUAAAGAUGCAAGAGUCUUGUGUAUGGAGAAGAGUCUUGCAGGUUCUCAUUUUAUAUCACAUAAACACAAAUCAACAAAUACCACAAGGAUCAUUCAGCAGAAGAUUAAAAAAUGUACAUUAGCCUCUGUUAUCCACCCCCACAAGAAAUCUGUUCACCUGAUGCAAAGUACUGCCACCUUUGUACAAUUUGAGUGCAUUUUAAGGUAUUUGAUACUGAUAACCUGA